rnacentral:rRNA from 1 species
GACGUAGGGUGCGAGCGUUGUCCGGAAUUAUUGGGCGUAAAGAGCUCGUAGGCGGCUUGUCACGUCGGUUGUGAAAGCCCGGGGCUUAACCCCGGGUCUGCAGUCGAUACGGGCAGGCUAGAGUGUGGUAGGGGAGAUCGGAAUUCCUGGUGUAGCGGUGAAAUGCGCAGAUAUCAGGAGGAACACCGGUGGCGAAGGCGGAUCUCUGGGCCAUUACUGACGCUGAGGAGCGAAAGCGUGGGGAGCGAACAGG